CUGGGUCUGAGAAACGGGGACAGCGGGGAGGGAGCUGAAAAAGAAUGAGGCUAGGCUGAUCUAUAUGGUAUGGAUCUGAGAAGGUGGGGCAAGUGGAGUAAAGAGGCCAAUAGCUUACCUUACGCUGAACCUGAUCGGGGAGUGGUGAGAAGCAUGUGAAUUGCCAGAUGAAAUCUUGCUGUAGUCUGAAAAGGGAUGGAGAGAGAACAUGAAUCCACCACCUCUGUUUCUGAGCAUGCUGUGAAGGCAUUUCCUUGGAUCUUACCGGAGCCCCAGAUUCUCCGUGAUUGCUUGAUCAGUGAAUUGUCAAAGCAAACCUCCACCUACCUGUCAUCCAAUUUUAGAUCCAAUAAAAUGAUUUUAAAAAGAAUAGA
rnacentral:lncRNA from 12 species